UACGGAGGGUGCGAGCGUUGUCCGGAAUCAUUGGGCGUAAAGGGCGCGUAGGUGGCCCCUCAAGCGUGCGGUGAAAGUCAGGGGCUCAACCCCUGAUCGGCCGUGCGAACUGGGGAGCUUGAGCACUGUAGAGGCAGGCGGAAUUCCGGGUGUAGCGGUGGAAUGCGUAGAGAUCCGGAAGAACACCGGUGGCGAAGGCGGCCUGCUGGGCAGUUGCUGACACUGAUGCGCGACAGCGUGGGGAGCAAACAGG
rnacentral:rRNA from 1 species